GUGCUUGCUUCAGCAGCAUAUCUAGUAAAAUUGGAACAAUACAGAGAAGAUCAGCAUGGUCCCUGCACAAGGAUGACACACAAAUUUGUUAUACAUUCCAUAUUCUU